rnacentral:antisense_RNA from 1 species
CCUUUGUAGCGGACGCCCCUCGACCCACCCACCCGAUCCCGGCCGCACCCUGCUCUGCACCCGCACCCCACCCCCAGACCUCACCUGCCUGCCCUGCCGUGCGCUCAACAGCCAGAUGCUGGGCCCAGACAAGCGCUCUUCCGCGAGUGUGCCGGGAUGAGCGGGGGCUGGACUUCUAGAAAGGGGUCUGCGGGCGCAGGAGCUGGGGUCCGCGGUCUGGGGCCGGCUGAUCACCAGUUCCUCUUAGGAACCGGUGAACCUCAGGGGGCCAUUGCACAUCCAGGUGUGAAACUGCGGUGUGGCCUCCAGCCAACACAAGCCAUCAGCCCCAUGCUCAGCUCCCAGCAGGCAGAGCGUUCAGAAGCGCCAGCGCCAUCAGCUUGGGAGCCUGCAGUCCACACACCGUUGACCUUACCUACUUCCUCUUUCCAGGUCGUAGAUUACAGACUCUCCUCUGGGAAAUUGCCCCCAGAUCUAACAGGAGUACAAGAAGCUGGGUAGAUUGGAAAACAGCACCGAAUUCCCCUGGAACUGAGGACGGAAGCCUUCCCAGUCCUGCAGCCACCUGCAGACUCUCACAAGCACGGUGUUCCCGGGAUAAGAUCUUGCUACCCCAGGCCCAGGGCAGUCGAGAGAAAACGGGAAGCCCUGAAGGUUUUUCACCCCGGGGGAAGGCAGCCAGAGGAGGGCACAGUGUGGAAGAACUCAACUUUUUAAAGACAGAGAUCAGCUUUAAAUAUUGCUAAGAAAGAA